rnacentral:piRNA from 1 species
UAACAUGUACUCCAAAGUCGCGUAGGUUC